AGUGAACGCUGGCGGUAGGCCUAACACAUGCAAGUCGAACGGCAGCACAGUAAGAGCUUGCUCUUACGGGUGGCGAGUGGCGGACGGGCGGGGAAUACAUCGGAAUCUACUUUUUCGUGGGGGAUAACGUAGGGAAACUUACGCUAAUACCGCAUACGACCUACGGGUGAAAGCAGGGGAUCUUCGGACCUUGCGCGAUUGAAUGAGCCGAUGUCGGAUUAGCUAGUUGGCGGGGUAAAGGCCCACCAAGGCGACGAUCCGUAGCUGGUCUGAGAGGAUGAUCAGCCACACUGGAACUGAGACACGGUCCAGACUCCUACGGGAGGCAGCAGUGGGGAAUAUUGGACAAUGGGCGCAAGCCUGAUCCAGCCAUACCGCGUGGGUGAAGAAGGCCUUCGGGUUGUAAAGCCCUUUUGUUGGGAAAGAAAAGCAGCAGGUUAAUACCCCGCUGUUCUGACGGUACCCAAAGAAUAAGCACCGGCUAACUUCGUG
rnacentral:rRNA from 1 species